CAACUAUUCAUUUUGAAUCUUGCCCUGAAUCUGGCAAGAUGGUAACUAAACCAAUCACAAUGCAGAGAUGUGUUUUGAAUCAACGCGGGCGGGGCAGAGGGUUCUGGGGCGGGGUUUUGAGGGAGUGACGACAUAGCAGUGAGACGCUGGGCAGUGGAGAAAGCACAAGAAACAUGGCGGCGGCAAUGGAACAGCGCUCGUUUGAUUCUGCAUUGGCAUCAGACUUGGGGUUUUCGUUAAAACGUGAGCAAGAGGAGGCUCUUCAUUCAUUUUUAAGAAGGACGUUUUCGCCGUGUUACCGACAGGCUAUGGCAAAAGUCUUAUCUACCAGUUAACUCCACUGGUAGCCGAAAUGAUGGGGCUCUUUGAAAACCCGAUGGUGGUACCGGUAGUCGUCUCGCCCUUGUUAGCCCUAAUGGUAGACCAGGCGAAGGAGGCGAGCAAUUUUGGACUCACUGCCAUGCAACUGGGCGUCGAUAACCCAGCAAACAUAAAAAUAUGUCGUCAGUGCCAGUUGGUCUUCGGAGCAGUCAGGAGGCAUGGCUUUUGCUGAACGCGACGUGUUGUCUUCCAAGACAAGGUCCUCGGAGUGGACGAGGUUCACCUCAUAUAAUGGGGGAAACGUGACAAAGGGAAGGCCUUCAGGUAUUGUUUUGGCAAGCUAGGAGAACACAUCUGACAGACAAAAAGGUUUCAUCAAAGACACACAGACAGCUCCUGAAGUAAAGGACCUACACAGGACCUUCAUAUCAAGGACAUUGACUGUGUGGAUCUCGAGGUGCAGUUACCCAAAAGUUGCUACCCACAGAAUACCAGGUUUUGAGGGAUCCUGCCAGAGCAGAGAAUCAACAGAUACAUUGAAGAGGAGACUCCGACAUGACCGCCGGCAUCUUGUGUUAUUCACCCCACCACUUGUAAUACUGAAUGCCUGAAUUGUUGUUUGCUGCUCAGACUUUGUCAACAGAUAUGGUCUUCGACAUGUUACCUUUAGGUGUGGAAACAGAUUGUGACAGUCCAGCAAAAUGAGCCAGACAGAUAGUAACACUGAAAAAGGACAACGUUGUUCCCAUGGCCUCCCACUGCAGAAGACUACAGACGCUCAGUAAAGCACAAACAGCUGUUCCUCUUGUACUUAAUAAUUUAGUCAGCUGGAUUCUAGGUGCCACUAAGGAGCCAACAGUGGAUAAUUUUGUCAACAUUUCAAUGGCAUACAUUAAAAGGGCAGCCUGUAAUUGUUUGCCUUGCCUCCAUCUUCCUUGCCACCAAGGGGUUGUAGACCGAUGCCCUAGUAGUCCUCCUGUUUAGGUACAACCAUGCAGUUAGGCCAGUCUAUUGAAGCAUAUACUUAUGACUGUUUGUAUGUGUUGUGUAUCUAGUAAUGGAUAAAUUACCACAUGAAUAACUGCAUAUUCAUUAUAUUGAUAAUUAUAAUGGCUUCCAUUAUUGAUUAAAAAAGGGAUCUACCACCACUUGCAUUAUUGUUUUGUUAUUAUUGAAGCACUGUUAGGAAUCCAGGAAGACGGAUGCCGAGGCAAUCAAGGUUGCAUUUUUUUCCCUUUUUUAUUUGGCUACAAUGCCUCAGCAUCUGUCUUCCUGGACCAAGUUUGACAGCCCCUACACUGAUGAGCACCAAGGGAAAAAGGUGAAGACCCAGAAGCACUCCA